CGCUCAGUCUCCACACAGCUUCCGUUGGCGUGCUUUGGCUUUGGCUUUGGCUUUAGUUGCUUGGUAGCGCUGCGGGCCGGCGGCUGCCGCAGUAGCAGCAUCAACGACGCCAACGAAAGAGGCGCACAAAGCAAACAAAAAUUACAUAAAACAACAGAAAAAACAGCGGCAAAAAAAAUACAAAAGCAAAACGAAGUUAAACAGUUGUUGUAGAGGGGGAGGGGCAACAGACCCAAAAAAAAAAAA